UACGGGGGGGGGCAAGCGUUGUUCGGAAUUACUGGGCGUAAAGGGCUCGUAGGUGGCCAACUAAGUCAGACGUGAAAUCCCUCGGCUUAACCGGGGAACUGCGUCUGAUACUGGAUGGCUAGAGAUUGGGAGAGGGAUGCGGAAUUCCAGGUGUAGCGGUGAAAUGCGUAGAUAUCUGGAGGAACACCGGUGGCGAAGGCGGCUUCCUGGACCGACACUGACGCUGAGGCGCGAAAGCUAGGGGAGCAAACGGG
rnacentral:rRNA from 1 species